UUAACCUAUUACAUUAGCUCUGUAGUAGUAAAGCACAUACCCAGUGUAAGUACAUAGUACAUACCAUGUAAAUGUAACUGGAUAAUAUUGAAAAAACCCAAAAAAAAUAUCAUAAUUGAAUAAUACAGUAAUUGGCCAACACAAACUAAACGCUGUCAUAAGUUAAACAUUAAGUUAAUACUUAACUUAGCAAUAAUAAUACACAACCAAAAAUAUCCAUUUGUUAGAUUUACUAAAAUGAAAUUGCUAUUUGAUCUCUGCCUGAUAAUAAUUUGUGCAUCUCAAGGGCUCUAAUAAGGAAUGUAGACAUAGGGACAAAAAUAAAAUUACACAUUUGUGUAUUAAUGACAAGGGAACAUCCGAGCUCACAAAAAGAUCAUGUUUAAAGGACCAUCCAUGUUUCUUAUGAGCAUAAAUCCUAACUGGGCUAUGUGAGUCACCUCUUACCACGAGAUCCAGGUCCUCCUCUAGGACCAGGUCCACUACUUCUUGGACCACCUCCACU
rnacentral:lncRNA from 1 species